ACAUCCCAACGCGCCUACCAUCUC
rnacentral:siRNA from 1 species